CCCGCUGAACUUAAGCAUAUAAAUAAGCGGAGGAAAAGAAACCAAAAGGGAUUCCCUGAGUAACGGCGAGCGAAAGGGGAUGAGCUCAGCGCCAAGUCCCUUCGCGUCGAAAGGCGUAAGGGAGAUGCGGCGUGUAAGUUGCAGUGCUGCUUGCGAGGCGUCAGUACCGCAAGUCCCUCUGACAAGGGCCUUCUACCAGAGUGGGUGCUAGUCCCAUAGCGGUUACUCGACUCGUCUGCUAACUGUAAUUUGCUAGAGUCGGGUUGCUUGAGAGUGCAACCUAAAGUCGGUGGUAAACUCCACCUAAGGCUAAAUAUGACUGCGAGACCGAUAGCAAACAAGUACCGUGAGGGAAAGUUGCAAAGAACUUUGAAGAGAGAGUUCAAAAGGACGUGAAACCGUUUGUAGGUAAACAGGUGGAACCACGAAGUUAUGUUGACGGGACGGGGAUUCAACUGUUCCAGUUGCGACUGUUGUGCCAGAAUCGGCUCUCGUCAGAGGGUUUGCUGGUGUGACUCUACUAGUUGCAGCUGGGUGGUGCAUUUCCUCAUGUCUCGCGCGAAAGCCACGACCAGUUAGAAGACUAGGGCGGCCGUAUGCGAGAGUUAGCGGCAGGUACCCGGAGGCGGCUUGUCUGUCUACCGGCGUUAUAGCUGCUGGCUCGGGAGCUUGCCCUCAGUGUACUGACUGGGUGUAAAAUUUCCCCGCUUACGCGGGGUAUGCAUGUAAAGUGGGCGUCCAGUUGCUGUUCGAGGCGAGUGCUGGCGUAGUGAGUCUUUGCGUACUUUGUGCGGAAAGCUCGUUGCGUUAGUCCGUCUAUGCUGAGCGGUUAUCUGGGCGUUCGUGUGCAAUCGGUGGCUAGUAGGUCGGUACCCACCUGACCCGUCUUGAAACACGG
rnacentral:rRNA from 1 species